UACGGAGGGAGCUAGCGUUGUUCGGAAUUACUGGGCGUAAAGAGUACGUAGGCGGUUAUUCAAGUCAGAGGUGAAAGCCUGGAGCUCAACUCCAGAACUGCCUUUGAAACUAGAUAACUUGAAUCACGGAGAGGUUAGUGGAAUUCCGAGUGUAGAGGUGAAAUUCGUAGAUAUUCGGAAGAACACCAGUGGCGAAGGCGACUAACUGGACGUGUAUUGACGCUGAGGUACGAAAGCGUGGGGAGCAAACAGG
rnacentral:rRNA from 2 species